rnacentral:rRNA from 1 species
UACGUAGGGUGCGAGCGUUGUCCGGAAUUAUUGGGCGUAAAGGGCUCGUAGGCGGUCUGUCGCGUCGGGAGUGAAAACUCGGGGCUUAACUCCGAGCCUGCUUCUGAUACGGGCAGACUAGAGGUAUGCAGGGGAGAAUGGAAUUCCUGGUGUAGCGGUGAAAUGCGCAGAUAUCAGGAGGAACACCGGUGGCGAAGGCGGUGCUCUGGGCAUGACCUGACGCUGAGGAGCGAAAGUGUGGGGAGCGAACAGG